AUUGAACGCUGGCGGCAGGCCUAACACAUGCAAGUCGAACGAGUGGCGGACGGGUGAGUAAUGUCUGGGAAACUGCCUGAUGGAGGGGGAUAACUCCUGGAAACGGUAGCUAAUACCGCAUACCAUCAGAUGUGCCCAGCUGGGAUUAGCUAGUAGGUGGGGUAAAGGCUAAACAAGGCGACGAUCCCUAGCUGGUCUGAGAGGGUGACCAGCCACACUGGAACUGAGACACGGUCCAGACUCCUACGGGAGGCAGCAGUGGGGAAUAUUGCACAAUGGGCGCAAGCCUGAUGCAGCCAUGCCGCGUGUAUGAAGAAGGCCUUCGGGUUGUAAAGUACUUUCAGCGGGGAAGCGUUACCCGCAGAAGAAGCACCGGCUAACUCCGUGCCAGCAGCCGCGGUAAUAC
rnacentral:rRNA from 1 species